CACGGGUUGUGUUCUGUGUCUGUUUUCUUCUGAUCUUAUCACUGAUGGUGGGCAUACGGUGGCUGAUCAGAAAACAAGGAGCUUUACAAUGUUAUUGUGGAAGAACAACACAAAAGGAGGAGAACGACGUGCCAAUGACAGGGGAGGGUGAUGGUAUGUUUUUCAAGCUCUCCAAUAAAACUAUUGUUUUAUUAAUGAACAUUUAUUUCACAUUCUGGGAUAUUUCUUUGUCUUAGAUGGAACUUCAAACGUGGAGGAAGAAUCCAGUGAUGAAUUUGCCUAUGACAGUGUGACCGGUGGGGAGGAGUACCAGGAUGUGGGUGAUACAACGAAUCAACAUUUGGGUGACGAGAUUGAGACAUACCAUGACAUGGAGGAUGCCACGUACCAAGAAAUUCAGGGUGAAACACCGAAUAUUUAACACGUUAUAGUACGCAUUCGAGAUGCAGCAAAUCAAGGCCCAGAUACUGAAGUUGUGUACGCCAAAUCAUGCAAGAAGACAGGACGUCAUCAAUACAUGUCUUAAUCAUUAUUAGAUCUGCAUUAUUUCAAAGCAGUACUGCAUGUGUACUACAGUAUCUAUACAUAUGUAUUUGAUGUAUUGUGUAUUCAAUGUGUGUCUUGCGUUGGACUACUCCCUUCAUGGUCAAGAUGUUUUGUGACCU